rnacentral:rRNA from 1 species
ACUGCCGGUGACAACCGGAGGAAGUGGGGAUGACGUCAAGUCCUCAUGGCCCGUUAUAGUGGGGCUACACACGUCAUACAAUGGCCGGUACAAAGGGCUGCCAACCGCAGGGGAGCCAAUCCCAUAAACCGGUCGUAGUCCGGAUCGCAGUCUGCAACUCCGACUGCGUGAAGUCGGAAUCGCUAGUAAUCGUGGAUCAGAAUGUCACGGUGAAUACGUUCCCGGGUCUU